AGAGUUUGAUCAUGGCUCAGGAUUGAACGCUGGCGGCAUGCUUUACACGAUGCAAGUCGAGCGGCAGGCGCGGGGGCAACCCUGGCGGCGAGCGGCGAACGGGUGAGUAAUGCAUCGGAACGUACCCUGGGAGUGGGGGGAUAACGCCGCGAAAGCGGCGCUAAUACCGCAUAUGCUCUGACGGAGGGAAAAGUUGGGGGGACCGCAAGGCCUCACGCUCUGGGAGCGGCCGAUGUCCGAUUAGCUAGUUGGUGGGGUAAAGGCUUACCAAGGCGACGAUCGGUAGCUGGUCUGAGAGGAUGAUCAGCCACACUGGGACUGAGACACGGCCCAGACUCCUACGGGAGGCAGCAGUGGGGAAUUUUGGACAAUGGGGGCAACCCUGAUCCAGCCAUGCCGCGUGAGUGAAGAAGGCUUCGGGUUGUAAAGCUCUUUUGGUCGGGAAGAAAGCGCCUUGCCUAAUACGCGAGGUGGUUGACGGUACCGGCAGAAUAAGCACCGGCUAACUACGUG
rnacentral:rRNA from 1 species